AACGUAGGAGGCAAGCGUUAUCCGGAUUUACUGGGCGUAAAGCGUGUGCAGGCGGUUUUCUAAGUCAUGUGUGAAAGCGCUCCGCUUAACGGGGCGAGGCCAUGUGAGACUGGGAGACUAGAAUUAGACAGAGGCAAGUAGAAUUCCGGGUGUAGUGGUGAAAUGCGUAGAGAUCCGGAGGAACACCAGUGGCGAAGGCGGCCCCCUGGGCCGCGCCUGACGCUGAGACGCGAAAGCGCGGGGAGCGAACGGG
rnacentral:rRNA from 1 species